rnacentral:lncRNA from 12 species
AAUCACUCCAGAAGAAAUUCUAAGUCCACAGUGAGAGGUGGUCGGCCAUGUACCAGAUAGAGGGCCCACUCCCUACCCAGCCCUGUCCCUGCCACUCACCCACCUUCUCCUGAAGGUCACUUGGUAUGAACACCCAGCUUCCAUCCUCUCCCCACCACAGGAAACGUGGUGACAUUUGAAUUUGGAGGCAGGGAAGGCUUGGCUCAGCUCUAUCUUCUUUCCCCAGGAAGGAGAGUUGCCUGUGGCUCUUGGUGUUGACUGCGCCUUGGUAGAUGAAGCAUCCAGCUCUGCUGUUUGGGGAACAGGCUACUUUUGGGUCCCUCAAUAUCUUCACUUGCUCAGAACCAGAGAGCAAAGGGGACAGGUCAGAACUGGCCGGGACACCAGUUCUGUUCUGGACACCAAGAGCUACGAAUCUGGUCUCAUAUCCCCUCUUGAUCCAGGCUGAGCUGCCUAUCUCCCCACCUCCGUGAAAGGAAACUGGAUGCGGGAAGGCAGACACACACAGCCCAGGCUCCUUGAAACUAUAAAAUUAUGAUUGCAUAGAAAUGCAACUCGCUCCAAACUGCAUGUAGGCCAACAAGUGUUUAACUUCCAACCCUGUCAUUUGCCCCAUAAUAUGGCCCUCAUGGGGAUGGUCAGGUGGAAGUCUCUCACCUGAGGGGAGGAUGCUCCACCCAGGCCUCUUGAUCCAUCAGGACUCCAGCUGCACUGACUCCACCAGGCUUCCCCAGCUGCUGAGGUCGGAUGUUGUAAGUACUGCAUUUGAUGAAACUUUGCCUUAUUCUCAUGUAUUACCUACUAUUCCCUUCAUCUACGUGUAGAUUCCUUUCCUCUUCUAUUAGGUUUCUGUGAUAAUGAUAUAAUUUUUUUUCCUUUUUGAAAUUGAAAACAUAGCUGUUAUGAGUCUUUUUCCCAGAACAAUUACAAAAAUGUGUCCUUCCUUUAUUCUUUUACCUGUUUAAUAGGUAUUCACCUGGUGCCAUCAGUAUGCAGGCAUGGGGUGGCAGGGCAAGCAGGGGAAGCAGGGCAGGCCUGGCUUCUGACCCCCGGGGAGCUGCCCUUGCAGAGGGCCCCAGGCUAUGCAUCCCCAGCUCCUUUAUGGGGCCCCCAGGACACCCCCUCCCUGGUGGGACACCCUGCUGAGACUUCUAGUUCUCUGGGGCAGAAAUCUGUCUCCUGGCAGCCUCUCCACCUUGGCCUUAGAGAGUCCAAGGAAAAGGCCAACUGCAUUAUAAUGUAGAACAACAUCCUAUCUUCUUCAGAAGCUUCCAGUUCCUCUAACUCUUCUCAGGCAGGGCUUCUGCAGACCCACCUGACAUUGAAUCCUGGCUAUCAAGCUCCCUCAAACUCCAGCCUCCAGGAUGCCCAUGAGCCCUCUUUGGCAGAGUCCUUUCUUUUUUCCCUAUCUUUUCUUUGUCCUUUGAAGCAUGUAACAGAGCUCUGCAUCCAUAGCAGAUGUGUGAUAAACACUUGGUGAACUUCAUUGACAUGUCCACUUAGCCAGUUUAUCAGAGCUCUUCCCACAGAUGCUGGGUGAUGCGGGUUCUGUGCCCAGCACCACGAUAGGUCCCCUGGACAUGUCAGCAAUAGAGCAAGCACAUGUCUUGGUGGUAUUCUACUCAUUGCUUAUGUUUGCUUAGCCCUCUGUAUUUGACAGAGUUUUCCCCCAAAUUUUAGUUGAUUUCAUGUCUACUCUAUGGAUUUACAGAUGAGAAGACUGAGGUCCAGCAAGACCUAAUGAUGAACACAAGGUUAUGCCACGGUGCGGGCCACAGCUGUAAGUCAUUCUCAGGUCUUCUUGGGACAUCUAACCCUGUGCUUCCAUCAUGACUUAUCCAAGUCUCCUGUUGAGUUCUAUAGAACAAUUAGGUUAUCCCGCAGUCCACAUUUCAUGGGAGAAUUCUGAUUUCAUUUAAAAAAUUCUUUUAGGGGCUCCUGGGUGGCACAGUCAGUUAAGCUUCUGCCUUCAAUCCCAGGGACCCGGGAUUGAGCCCCACAUUGGGCUCCUUGCUCAGCAGGGAACCUACCUCUCCCUCUCCCUUUGCCUGCAGCUCUGCCUGCUUGUGCUCUCUCUUUCUCUCUCUCUCUGUCAAAUAAAUAAAUAAACAAAAUAUUUUUAAAAAUCCUU